GACGCCGACAACAGUCUUCAUAGUAGAAGUGCCGUGUGUGUUUUCAAAUAUUUGAUAACAGCUGAUGACAGCCGAUGCCGAGAGUCGAACCUGAGACUACAGGACCCAGAAUGCCCUUGGGACCGUGACCGCGAACGCUUUCUGCAGGAGGUAUGCCUGCUUCAGCAGCACCUGAAAGAGCGACCCGUUCCUGUGAAAUGUGAGCCGUCACGCCGGGUCACAGGUGAGCCCAA